GAUGAAGAACGUAGCGAAAUGCGAUACUUGGUGUGAAUUGCAGAAUCCCGUGAACCAUCGAGUCUUUGAACGCAAGUUGCGCCCGAAGCCACUAGGCCGAGGGCACGCCUGCCUGGGCGUCACACGCCGUUGCCCCCCCAUCUACUCCUUCGGGAUUGCGGGGGGGCGGAUGAUGGCCUCCUGUGCGCCUAGCCGCGCGGUUGGCAUAAAUACCAAGUCCUCGGCGACGCACGCCACGACAAUCGGUGGUUGCGAAACCUCGGUUGCCCGUCGUGUGCGUUCGUCGCGCAUCGAGGGCUCGAAAAAAUGCUCGGCUCCGGCUGGGCUUUCAACGCGACCCCAGGUCAGGCGGGGUUACCCACUGAAUUUAAGCAUAUCAAUAAGCGGAGGA
rnacentral:misc_RNA from 1 species